UGAGGAAUAUUGGUCAAUGGACGCAAGUCUGAACCAGCCAUGCCGCGUAAAGGAAGACGGCCCUACGGGUUGUAAACUUCUUUUGUACGGGAAAAAACCACCGGUCGUGAACCGGUACUGAUGGUACCGUAAGAAUAGGCAUCGGGUAACUCCGUGCCAGCAGCCGCGGUAAUACGGAGGAUGAAAGCGUUAUCCGGAUGCAUUGGGUUUAAAGGGUGCGCAGGCGGAAUGAUAAGUCAGUGGUGAAAUCCUACGGCUCAACCGGGAAACUGCCAUUGAUACUGUCGUUCUUGAGUACAGUUGAAGUGGGAGGAAUGUGUCAUGUAGCUGUGAAACGCUUAGAUAUGACACAGAACACCGAUAGUGAAGACAGCUCACUAAGCUGUAACUGACGCUCAUGCACGAAAGCGUGGGGAUCAAACA
rnacentral:rRNA from 1 species